CCACUCGGCUGAGGCUCAAUAGCCUUCCUCUCCUUCUCCUCCUUCCACUGUUAUAUUGUAAGCCAAACCCACUUAUUAGCAGCUGGUCUCAUUGGCUUGGCUUAACUCUCCAACCACAUCCUAACAACGCCCCCUCCACAACGCUCCUCCUGAAGAGGAGGUUCUCCCAGCCCCAGCCCACAGAGAGGGUGCACAGGCUGGAGGCUGCGCAGAGCCCUGGGACUUGUAGUUUUUCCUGCCUGACGUCUGAAGCAGCUGCCUUCUUCCCUGCUGACAGAAUCUCUACCUGUGAUGACUGGGGACGGUGCACAGAAGAACUGAGACCAGACUUAGAGCAGAGACACAAGCUACUGACCGGGAAGGAGGUUGAAUGCUACAGUCAUGGGCUCUAUCUCUGUGACUGGUGAGAUAGAAAAAAGAAUGGCCGCCUGUCUGCACCAUUCCUUUGCUUCCCAGUUGACAAAAUUCCUGAUCUAAAAGAAAUCACAAAAAUAUAACUCCUCCACCUCGUCUUUCCUCAAUCCUGGAAGUCUCGGAGAGAAAGAAGAACUAUGAAUGAAAGCCAUUAGUCAAAGGAAUAGACCACUGGAGAGGGCAAACACUACCAAUCACUGGAAGAAUUCCAGCAAUGGAUAAUCAAAUGUUCUUCAGUAUUUUUUGUGUGUCGCCAAAUCCUUUGGAUGUCUGGUGAAGCCUGUGGACCCCUUUGCAGAAUAAUGUUCUUCAGACAGAAGGAAGGAUCAGUGGAAUAGACUUGGGGAAAGUGAUCUCAGCAAGACAGUGUAUCAUAAACCCAAAGAUCCCAGCUUUGGGGACAAAAAUCCACUAUUUGACAAAAACUUCUGGGAAAAUUGGAAGACAGUGUGGGAGAGAUUAGGUUUGAAUCAACACCUCACACCCUACACCAAGAUAAACUCAGAAUGGGUGAAUGACUUGAACAUAAAGAAGGAAACUAUAAGUAAAUUAGGUGAACACAGAAUAGUAUACAUGUCAGACCUGUGGGAAGGGAAAGACUUUAAAACCAAGCAAGAGUUAGGAAAAAAAAUCACAAAAUGUAAAAUAAAUAAUUUUGAUUACAUCAAAUUAAAAAGUUUUUGUACAAACAAAACCAAUGUAACUAAAAUCAGAAGGGAAGCAACAAAUUGGGAAACAAUCUUCAUAACAAAAACCUCUGAUAAAGGUUUAAUUACUCAAAUUUACAAAGAGCUAAAGCAAUUGUACAAAAAAUCAAGCCAUUCUCCAAUUGAUAAAUGGGCUAGGGACAGGAAUAGGCAGUGUUCAGUUAAAGAAAUCAAAACUAUUAAUAAGCACAUGAAAAAGUGUUCUACAUCUCUUAUAAUCAGAGAAAUGCAAAGCAAAACAACUCUGAGGUAUCACCUCCCACCUAGCAGAUUGGCUAACAUGACAGCUAUGGAAAGUAAUGAAUGCUGGAGGGGGUGUGGCAAAGUAGGGACAUUAAUUCAUUGCUGGUGGAGUUGUGAAUUGAUCCAACCAUUCUGGAGGGCAAUUUGGAACUAUGCCCAAAGGGCGAUAAAAGACUGCCCUUUGAUCCAGCCAUAGCACUGCUGGGUUUAUACCCCAAAGAGAUAAUAAGGGAAAAGACUUGUACAAGAAUAUUCAUAGCUGAGCUCUUUGUGGUGGCCAAAAAUUGGAAAAUGAGGGGAUGCCCUUCACUUGGGGAAUGGCUGAACAAAUUGUGGUAUCUGUUGGUGAUGGAAUACUGUGGGUGUGGUGAUGGAAUAUUGUGCUCAAAAGAAUAAUGAACUGGAGUAAUUCCGUGAGAACUGGAACAACCUCCAGGAAGUGAUGCAGAGCGAAAGGAGCAGAACCAGGAAAACAUUGUACACAGAGACUGACACACUGUGGUACAAUCGAAGGUAAUGGACUUCUCCAUUGGUGUCAAUGCAGUGUCCCUGAACAAUCUGCAGGGAUCUAAAAAACACUAUCCACAAGCAGAGGAUAAAUUGUGGGAGUAAAAACACCGAUGAAAAGCAACUGCUUGACUGCAGGGAUGGAGGGGAUAUGACUGAGGAGAGACUCUAAAUGAACACUCUAAUGCAAAUACCAACAACAUGGAAAUGGGUUUGAAUCAGGAACACAUGUGAUACCCAGUGAAAUCGCACGUCUGCUAUGGGAGAGGUGGGGGGGAGGGAAGAAAAGAAAAUGAUCUUUGUUUCCAAUGAAUAAUGUUUGGAAAUGACCAAAUAAAACAAUGUUUAAAAAAAAGAAAAAAGAAAAAAAUCACAAAAUGUAAAAUAAAUAAUUUUGAUUACAUCAAAUUAAAAAGUUUUUGUACAAACAAAACCAAUGUAACUAAAAUCAGAAGGGAAGCAACAAAUUGGGAAACAAUCUUCAUAACAAAAACCUCUGAUAAAGGUCUACUUACUCAAAUUUUUAAAGAGUUAAAUCAAUUGUACAAAAAAUCAAGCCAUUCUCCAAUUGAUAAAUGGGCAAAGAGACAUGAAUAGGCAAUUUUCAGUUAAAGAAAUCAAAACUAUUAAUAAGCACAUGAAAAAGUGUUCUAAAUCUCUUAUAAUCAGAGAAAUGCAAAGCAAAACAACUCUGAGGUAUCAUCUCACACCUAGCAGAUUGGCUAACAUGACAGCUAUGGAAAGUAAUGAAUGCUGGAGGGGGUGUGGCAAAGUAGGGACAUUAAUUCAUUGCUGGUGGAGUUGUGAAUUGAUCCAGACAUUCUAGAGGGCAAUUUGGAACUAUGCCCAAAGGGCACUAAAAGACUGUCUGCCCUUUGAUCCAGCCAUAGCACUGCUGGAUUUGUACCCCAAAGAGAUAAUAAGGAAAAACACUUGUACAAGAAUAUUCAUAGCAGCACUCUUUGUGGUGGCCAAAAAUUGGAAAAUGAGGGGAUGCCCUUCACUUGGGGAAUGGCUGAACAAAUUGUGGUAUAUGUUGGUGAUGGAAUACUAUUGUGCUCAAAGAAUUAAUGAAGUGGAGGAAUUCCAUGGGAAAAGGAACAACCUCCAGGAAUUGAUGCAGAGGGAGAGGAGCAGAACCAGGAAAACAUUGUACACAGAGACUGAUACACUGUGGCACAAUCGAAUGUAAUGGACUUCUCUACUAGCAGCAAUGCAAUGAUCCAGGACAAUCUUGAGGGACUUAUGAGAAAGAACAAUAUCCACAUCCAGAGAAAGAACUGUGGGAGCAGAAACACAGAAGAAAAAAAAAACCUGCUUGAUCACAUGGGUUGAUGGGGCUAUGAUGAGGGAUGUAAACUCUUAAAUGAUCACCCUAAUGCAAAUAUCAAUAAUAUGGAAAUAGGUCUUGAUCAAUGACACAUGUAAAACCCAGUGGAAUUGAGUGUUGGCUAUAGGAGGGGGAUGGGAGGGGGGAGGGAAAGAACCUGAAUCAUGUAACCAUGGAAAAUUUUUCCUAAUUAAUCAAUUAAAUAAAAUUUAAAAAAAAA